AGUGAACGCUGGCGGUAGGCCUAACACAUGCAAGUCGAACGGCAGCACAGUAAGAGCUUGCUCUUACGGGUGGCGAGUGGCGGACGGGUGAGGAAUACAUCGGAAUCUACUUUUUCGUGGGGGAUAACGUAGGGAAACUUACGCUAAUACCGCAUACGACCUACGGGUGAAAGCAGGGGAUCUUCGGACCUUGCGCGAUUGAAUUAGCCGAUGUCGGAUUAGCUAGUUGGCGGGGUAAAGGCCCACCAAGGCGACGAUCCGUAGCUGGUCUGAGAGGAUGAUCAGGCACACUGGAACUGAGACACGGUCCAGACUCCUACGGGAGGCAGCAGUGGGGAAUAUUGGACAAUGGGCGCAAGCCUGAUCCAGCCAUACCGCGUGGGUGAAGAAGGCCUUCGGGUUGUAAAGCCCUUUUGUUGGGAAAGAAAAGCAGCAGGUUAAUACCCCGCUGUUCUGACGGUACCCAAAGAAUAAGCACCGGCUAACUUCGUG
rnacentral:rRNA from 1 species